GACGAACGCUGGCGGCGUGCUUAACACAUGCAAGUCGAGCGGAAAGGCCCUUCGGGGUACUCGAGCGGCGAACGGGUGAGUAACACGUGAGUAAUCUGCCCUUCACUCUGGGAUAGCCACCGGAAACGGUGAUUAAUACCGGAUACGACCAAUCCCUGCAUGGGGUGUUGGUGGAAACUUUUUUGGGUGGGGGAUGUGCUCGCGGCCUAUCAGCUUGUUGGUGGGGUAAUGGCCUACCAAGGCUUCGACGGGUAGCCGGCCUGAGAGGGUGACCGGCCACACUGGGACUGCGAGACGACCCAGACUCAUACGGGAGGCAGCAGUGGGGAAUAUUGGACAAUGGGCGGAAGCCUGAUCCAGCAACGCCGCGUGAGGGAUGACGGCCUUCGGGUUGUAAACCUCUUUCAGCACCGACGAAGCGCAAGUGACGGUAGGUGCAGAAGAAGGACCGGCCAACUACGUGCCAGCAGCCGCGGUAACAC
rnacentral:rRNA from 1 species